UUAAUUAAAACCAAAAUAGAGGUAAAUUAUUGUUAAUAAUUUUAUUGAAUAUUUAUUAUUCUAAUUAAU
rnacentral:tRNA from 1 species